rfam:Schistosoma mansoni, Puerto Rico, WGS project CABG01000000 data, contig: 0132
AUCCAGCUGACCAGUCCCGAGUAGGUCGAAACGCGCGUCAAACUGGAU